rnacentral:rRNA from 1 species
GUUUGAUUCUGGCUCAGAUUGAACGCUGGCGGCAGGCCUAACACAUGCAAGUCGAGCGGUAGCACAGAGAGCUUGCUCUCGGGUGACGAGCGGCGGACGGGUGAGUAAUGUCUGGGAAACUGCCUGAUGGAGGGGGAUAACUACUGGAAACGGUAGCUAAUACCGCAUAACGUCGCAAGACCAAAGUGGGGGACCUUCGGGCCUCAUGCCAUCAGAUGUGCCCAGAUGGGAUUAGCUAGUAGGUGGGGUAACGGCUCACCUAGGCGACGAUCCCUAGCUGGUCUGAGAGGAUGACCAGCCACACUGGAACUGAGACACGGUCCAGACUCCUACGGGAGGCAGCAGUGGGGAAUAUUGCACAAUGGGCGCAAGCCUGAUGCAGCCAUGCCGCGUGUGUGAAGAAGGCCUUCGGGUUGUAAAGCACUUUCAGCGGGGAGGAAGGCGAUAAGGUUAAUAACCUUGUCGAUUGACGUUACCCGCAGAAGAAGCACCGGCUAACUCCGUGCCAGCAGCCGCGGUAAUACGGAGGGUGCAAGCGUUAAUCGGAAUUACUGGGCGUAAAGCGCACGCAGGCGGUCUGUCAAGUCGGAUGUGAAAUCCCCGGGCUCAACCUGGGAACUGCAUUCGAAACUGGCAGGCUAGAGUCUUGUAGAGGGGGGUAGAAUUCCAGGUGUAGCGGUGAAAUGCGUAGAGAUCUGGAGGAAUACCGGUGGCGAAGGCGGCCCCCUGGACAAAGACUGACGCUCAGGUGCGAAAGCGUGGGGAGCAAACAGGAUUAGAUACCCUGGUAGUCCACGCCGUAAACGAUGUCGAUUUGGAGGUUGUGCCCUUGAGGCGUGGCUUCCGGAGCUAACGCGUUAAAUCGACCGCCUGGGGAGUACGGCCGCAAGGUUAAAACUCAAAUGAAUUGACGGGGGCCCGCACAAGCGGUGGAGCAUGUGGUUUAAUUCGAUGCAACGCGAAGAACCUUACCUGGUCUUGACAUCCACAGAACUUASCAGAGAUGCUUUGGUGCCUUCGGGAACUGUGAGACAGGUGCUGCAUGGCUGUCGUCAGCUCGUGUUGUGAAAUGUUGGGUUAAGUCCCGCAACGAGCGCAACCCUUAUCCUUUGUUGCCAGCGGUUAGGCCGGGAACUCAAAGGAGACUGCCAGUGAUAAACUGGAGGAAGGUGGGGAUGACGUCAAGUCAUCAUGGCCCUUACGACCAGGGCUACACACGUGCUACAAUGGCAUAUACAAAGAGAAGCGACCUCGCGAGAGCAAGCGGACCUCAUAAAGUAUGUCGUAGUCCGGAUUGGAGUCUGCAACUCGACUCCAUGAAGUCGGAAUCGCUAGUAAUCGUAGAUCAGAAUGCUACGGUGAAUACGUUCCCGGGCCUUGUACACACCGCCCGUCACACCAUGGGAGUGGGUUGCAAAAGAAGUAGGUAGCUUAACCUUCGGGAGGGCGCUUACCACUUUGUGAUUCAUGACUGGGGUGAAGUCGUA